UACGGAGGGAGCUAGCGUUGUUCGGAAUUACUGGGCGUAAAGCGCACGUAGGCGGCUUUGUAAGUUAGCGGUGAAAGCCUGGAGCUCAACUCCAGAAUUGCCUUUAAGACUGCAUCGCUUGAAUCCAGGAGAGGUGAGUGGAAUUCCGAGUGUAGAGGUGAAAUUCGUAGAUAUUCGGAAGAACACCAGUGGCGAAGGCGGCUCACUGGACUGGUAUUGACGCUGAGGUGCGAAAGCGUGGGGAGCAAACAGG
rnacentral:rRNA from 1 species